CCUACGGGGGGCAGCAGUGAGGAAUAUUGGUCAAUGGUCGUAAGGCUGAACCAGCCAAGUAGCGUGAGGGAAGACGGCCCUAUGGGUUGUAAACUUCUUUUAUGCGGGGAUAAAGUUGUCCACGUGUGGAGGUUUGUAGGUACCGCAUGAAUAAGGACCGGCUAAUUCCGUGCCAGCAGCCGCGGUAAUACGGAAGGUCCGGGCGUUAUCCGGAUUUCUUGGGUUUAAAGGGAGCGUAGGCCGGACUUUAAGCGUGACGUGAAAUGUCGUGGCUCAACCAUGGCAGUGCGGCGCGAACUGGCGUACUUGAGUGCGCGGAAGGCAGGCGGAAUUCGUGGUGUAGCGGUGAAAUGCUUAGAUAUCACGAAGAACCCCGAUUGCGAAGGCAGCCUGCCGCAGCGUUACUGACGCUGAAGCUCGAAGGCGCGGGUAUCGAACAGGAUUAGAUACCCGAGUAGUC
rnacentral:rRNA from 1 species